rnacentral:rRNA from 1 species
GACGAACGCUGGCGGCGCGCUUAACACAUGCAAGUCGAACGGAAAGGCCCUGCUUUUGUGGGGUGCUCGAGUGGCGAACGGGUGAGUAACACGUGAGUAACCUGCCCUUGACUUUGGGAUCACUUCAGGAAACUGGGGCUAAUAACGGAUAGGAGCACCUGAUGCAUGGUGGGGGUUGGAAAGUUUCGGCGGUUGGGGAUGGACUCGCGGCUUAUCAGCUUGUUGGUGGGGUAGUGGCUUACCAAGGCUUUGACGGGUAGCCGGCCUGAGAGGGUGACCGGCCACAUUGGGACUGAGAUACGCCCCAGACUCCUACGGGAGGCAGCAGUGGGGAAUAUUGCACAAUGGGCGGAAGCCUGAUGCAGCAACGCCGCGUGCGGGAUGACGGCCUUCGGGUUGUAAACCGCUUUCGCCUGUGACGAAGCGUGAGUGACGGUAAUGGGUAAAGAAGCACCGGCUAACUACGUG